CCACUGAGAAGAUAGUGGCGAACGGGUGAGUAACAACGUGGGUAACCUAGCCCAUAAGAGGGGGAGUAACAUCCGGAAACGGGUGCUAAUACCGCAUAGUUUUCUUGAUCGCAUGAUCGGGAAAGGAAAGACGGCCUUUGUGCUGUCGCUUAUGGAUGGACCCGCGGCGUAUUAGUUAGUUGGUGAGGUAACGGCUCACCAAGACGAUGAUACGUAGCCGACCUGAGACGGGUGAUCGGCCACAUUGGGACUGAGACACGGCCCAAACUCCUACGGGAGGCAGCAGUAGGGAAUCUUCCGCAAUGGACGAAAGUCUGACGGAGCAACGCCGCGUGAGUGAAGAAGGUUUUCGGGAAUCGUAAAACUCUGUUGUCAGAGAAGAACAAGUUGGAGAGUAACUGCUCCAGCCUUGACGGUAUCUGACCAGAAAGCCACGGCUAACUACGUGCCAGCAGCUGC
rnacentral:rRNA from 1 species